GUCUUUUCUCCUGCAGUAAGGUACCUAGCUGCUCCCUCUCAAUGGGGCUAAGCUGGUCGCCUGUCUGGACCUGCUCUACUAGAUUUGGGUGGGGAUUCUUAUCCACUAGGUCGGGUAAAGGAUGGCUGUCAGGGUCCUCGUGUGGGACUACAUAUGGCUGCCACAUCUUCUGGUCUCUCCAGAUACUCUUUGAGCAUAGUGAUGUUGUAGCGGAGUAGUGGUAUUAUUCACGGUAUCUCCGCUGGUAGACAGGAUGAAGCAGGUAAAAUUUAGGUAAAAUGCAGGUAGCGUAGUUACAGUCCUUUUCUCCUAAGGACUAGACGACACAUAGCUUGGAGGUUAAAACACUGGCAUCUCACCAGGCUGAGUCAAACUCUUUUAUGAUUACAGUUUCCUUU